GCGUCCGUGGUGUAGCGGUAACACACAAUCUUCGACUUAUAUCAAUAUUAAAAUGGUUUGAGAUUGGGUCCGGGGUUCGAGCCCCCGAGGACGCA